rnacentral:siRNA from 1 species
AUGUCGCCAAUCCUCAGGACCA